UACGUAGGGGGCAAGCGUUGUCCGGAUUUAUUGGGCGUAAAGCGCUCGCAGGCGGUCCGAUGCGUCGUGCGUGAAAGCCCCCGGCUCAACUGGGGAGGGUCACGCGAUACUGAUCGACUCGAAGGCAGGAGAGGGUAGUGGAAUUCCCGGUGUAGUGGUGAAAUGCGUAGAUAUCGGGAGGAACACCAGUGGCGAAGGCGACUCCCUGGGAUGUUAUUGACGCUGAGGCGCGAAAGCUAGGGGAGCAAACGGG
rnacentral:rRNA from 1 species